UACGUAGGGUGCAAGCGUUUAAUCGGAAUUACUGGGCGUAAAGCGUGCGCAGGCGGUUUUGUAAGUCUGUCGUGAAAGCCCCGGGCUCAACCUGGGAAUUGCGAUGGAGACUGCAAGGCUUGAAUCUGGCAGAGGGGGGUAGAAUUCCACGUGUAGCAGGUGAAAUGCGUAGAGAUGUGGAGGAACACCGAUGGCGAAGGCAGCCCCCUGGGUCAAGAUUGACGCUCAUGCACGAAAGCGUGGGGGAGCAAACAGG
rnacentral:rRNA from 1 species